GAUGAACGCUGGCGGCGUGCCUAAUACAUGCAAGUCGAGCGAACAGACGAGGAGCUUGCUCCUCUGACGUUAGCGGCGGACGGGUGAGUAACACGUGGAUAACCUACCUAUAAGACUGGGAUAACUUCGGGAAACCGGAGCUAAUACCGGAUAAUAUAUUGAACCGCAUGGUUCAAUAGUGAAAGACGGUUUUGCUGUCACUUAUAGAUGGAUCCGCGCCGCAUUAGCUAGUUGGUAAGGUAACGGCUUACCAAGGCGACGAUGCGUAGCCGACCUGAGAGGGUGAUCGGCCACACUGGAACUGAGACACGGUCCAGACUCCUACGGGAGGCAGCAGUAGGGAAUCUUCCGCAAUGGGCGAAAGCCUGACGGAGCAACGCCGCGUGAGUGAUGAAGGUCUUCGGAUCGUAAAACGCUGUUAUUAGGGAAGAACAAAUGUGUAAGUACUAUGCACGUCUUGACGGUACCUAAUCAGAAAGCCACGGCUAACUACGUG
rnacentral:rRNA from 1 species